rnacentral:rRNA from 1 species
CCUCGGGGAGGCAGCAGUGGGGAAUAUUGGGACAAUGGGGCGCAAGCCUGAUCCAGCCAUACCGCGUGUGUGAAGAAGGCCUUCGGGUUGUAAAGCACUUUAAGUAAGGAAGAAAAGUAUAUUGUUAAUACCAAUAAACCGUGACAUUACUUACAGAAUAAGGACCGGCUAAUUCCGUGCCAGCAGCCGCGGUAAUACGGAAGGUCCAAGCGUUAAUCGGAAUUACUGGGCGUAAAGCGCGCGUAGGUGGUUUAUUAAGUUGGGUGUGAAAGCCCCGGGCUCAACCUGGGAACUGCAUCCAAAACUGAUUCACUAGAGUACGAAAGAGGGAGGUAGAAUUCACAGUGUAGCGGUGGAAUGCGUAGAUAUUGUGAAGAAUACCAAUGGCGAAGGCAGCCUCCUGGUUCUGUACUGACACUGAGGUGCGAAAGCGUGGGUAGCGAACAGGAUUAGAUACCCUGGUAGUCCACGCCGUAAACGAUGACAACCAGCUGUUGGGAAGCAAUGCUUUUCAGUGGCGCAGCUAACGUCUUAAGUUGUCCGCCUGGGGAGUACGGCCGCAAGGUUAAAACUCAAAUGAAUUGACGG